rnacentral:rRNA from 1 species
GACGAACGCUGGCGGCGUGCUUAACACAUGCAAGUCGAACGGAAAGGCCCUGCUUUUUUGGUGUGCUCGAGUGGCGAACGGGUGAGUAACAUGUGAGUAACCUGCCCUUGACUUUGGUAUAACUUCAGGAAACUGGGGCUAAUACCGGAUAGGAGUUCCUGCUGCAUGGUGGGGGUUGGAAAGUUUCGGCGGUUGGGGAUGGACUCGCGGCUUAUCAGCUUGUUGGUGGGGUAGUGGCUUACCAAGGCUUUGACGGGUAGCCGGCCUGAGAGGGUGACCGGCCACAUUGGGACUGAGAUACGGCCCAGACUCCUACGGGAGGCAGCAGUGGGGAAUAUUGCACAAUGGGCGGAAGCCUGAUGCAGCGACGCCGCGUGCGGGAUGACGGCCUUCGGGUUGUAAACCGCUUUCGCCUGUGACGAAGCGUGAGUGACGGUAAUGGGUAAAGAAGCACCGGCUAACUACGUG